GUGUCAGCCGCCGCGGUAAGACGUAGGAUGCGAGCGUUGUCCGGAAUUAUUGGGCGUAAAGCGUACGUAGGCGGUCAUCUAAGUCUGGGGUUAAAGACCAAGGCUCAACCUUGGGAGUGCCCUGGAUACUGGGUGACUGGAGGACGGCAGAGGAAAGUGGAAUUCCCAGUGUAGCGGUGAAAUGCGUAGAUAUUGGGAGGAACACCAGUGGCGAAAGCGACUUUCUGGGCCGUUCCUGACGCUGAGGUACGAAAGCCAGGGGAGCAAACGGGAUUAGAAACCCCAGUAGUCC
rnacentral:rRNA from 1 species